rnacentral:rRNA from 1 species
CCUACGGGAGGCAGCAGUGGGGAAUAUUGCACAAUGGGGGAAACCCUGAUGCAGCGACGCCGCGUGAGUGAAGAAGGAUUUCGGGAUGUAAAGCUCUAUCAGCAGGGAAGAAAAUGACGGUACAUGGUUAAGAAGCCCCGGCUAACUACGAGCAGGCAGACGCGGUAAUACGUAGGGGCCAAGCGGUAGCCGGAUUUAGUGGGUGUAACGGGAGAGUAGACGGGAGCAAAAGUCUGGAGUGAAAUGCCGGGGCUUAACCCCGGGCCUGCUUUGGAAACUGGGCAGCUAGAGUGCAGGAGAGGUAAGUGGAAGUCCUAGUGUAGCGGUGAAAUGCGUAGAUAUUAGGCGGAACACCAGUGGCGAAGGCGGCUUACUGGACUGUAACUGACGUUGAGGCUCGAAAGCGUGGGGAGCAAACAGGAUUAGAUACCCCAGUAGUC